UACGUAGGGUGCAAGCGUUAAUCGGAAUUACUGGGCGUAAAGCGUGCGCAGGCGGUUGUGCAAGACAGAUGUGAAAGCCCCGGGCUUAACCUGGGAUGUGCGUUUGAAACUGGCAGGCUAGAGUUUGAUAGAGGGGGGUAGAAUUCCUGGUGUAGCAGUGAAAUGCGUAGAUAUCAGGAGGAAUACCGAUGGCGAAGGCAGCCCCCUGGAUUAAAACUGACGCUCAGGCACGAAAGCAUGGGGAGCAAACAGG
rnacentral:rRNA from 1 species